ensembl:lncRNA novel transcript
UAGCAGAGGUGUGUGAAAAGCAGAGCAACGCAGCACCCAAAAUGAUCUUGAAACUACUCAGAUAGAGUAAUUCCUCGACUCAAAAAUAUACAGCAUAUUUCCGUGUCAUUUAGAACAAAAGCCACAAUUCUUAGAAUAGUCUACAAGGUUUAACAUAAGGGUGAUGUCUUAGACUUUUCAACAGGUCACAAGGCUGGGAACAUGGGAACUGGAUUUGAGGGCAGGCUAAAGUGGGAGAAAGCUAUAGUAACACGCAUAGUCUUUGGGUUGAGACACAAAAGGUCUACCCCUAGGAAUAAGCAGUAAAAAGUAAGAAAUCGGCUGAUCCUGGGAAGAACUGAAGACCACUUAAAAUUAAAUCUACAUGACUCUACAUCUGGGAUGCUGGAUUUCCUCACAGCCUUAGAGAGAAGUUGAGAACCAAACAAGUGAGCUUCAUUCUCUACUUCUGGGAGUUGGAUAAUACGUACUGCAGGAACAUAGAAUUAACAAGCAAAAAUCCAGAAGGCAGCAAAAACCAAGCAGUGUGGCCGAAUCAUUAGACCGGCGAGAGGUGAGAAGAAACAUAC